GCUGCGCGAGGCUCGCGCUCCGUGAACGCGGGUGACGAAGGCCCCGGCCCUACAGACGCGGGAUAGAUGCCCCGAUUAUGUCCCCGUGAGGCAGGCUCACGCAGCUGAGCGAGCUGGGGGGUGCCUGGGGAGGAACCGGGGCGUUUGCAGCCGGACCCAAAGAAACUCUUCAAGCCCAUUGUGUCCAUUAUCCUCAUAUUUUUAAACUUAUUCUCUGGGCCAUGGCUGCAUCUCCGCGUUUCGUACGAGGCACUGCCAGGAAAUGAUGUCACAACCAAAUGAGGCAAGAAAUCAGCCUCGACUCGAGGGCGCUCCUGAAAUUCGAGCAGAGCCACAGGAUGUAACUCGGCUCUGAAAGCGCCCGACCUUACGGGCUACCCCGCUCCUCGGCCAGACGCGGGGAGGCUUAGGUGAAACAUCCAGAUGUGUGAUGAACUCGCUCACCGCACGGGCAACUAAGUCACAGCCCUCAUCCCUCGCCGCAGGACUGAGGAUCCACUCAAGGAUUAUAUGUUGUGUUUAGUUUUCAUGUUUCUAUAGUCUCCUUCCUUUAAUCUGGAGUAAUUCCCCAAUCUUCCUUUUUUUAAAAAAAAAAAACAACAUUGACCUUUUUGAAUAGUAAAGGACAGUUGUUUCAAAAAGUCCUUCAAUUUAGGUAAUUUUUUUUUUGGCAGGAAAAGUACCUUAAGUGAUGUGUCCUUUUCAGUGCAUUACAUCAGAAUGCACAUAAUGCUGGUGCGUGGCACUCUUUGUAAUAUAAAUGUGGUAGGCAACGUAAUGGUGCCCUUGGAGAUGUCCCUGUCCUAAUCUCCAGGACGAGAGAAUGUUACUUCACAUGGCAGUAGACACUUUACAGUUGCGAUUAAGGAUUUUGAGACAGAAGGGCUGAUCCUGCAUUAUCUGGCUGGGCCCCAAAUCCUCACAUGGGUCCUUAUAAGUGAAGGAGGGAGGCAGAAGAGCCAAGAGUUCCAGGGAUGUGAUCUGAGGAAGACUCAAGUUAGCCUUCUGGCUCUGAGGAUGAAGGGGACCGUGAGCCAAGGACUGUAGGUGGUCUCUAGAAGCUGGAAAAUGCAAGGAAAACAGUCUCGCCUGUAGUUUCCACAAAGAAACCAGCCCUGCCAACACCUAGAUUUUAGCCUGGUGAGAUGUGUGUCAGGUUUCUGGACUAAAGAACUGUGAGAUACUAAAUUUGUUGUUUUAAGUCUCCAAGUUUGUGGUAAUUUUUCACAACAGCAAUAAGAAACUAAGACAGAAAGUUUGAUCAUUUGGUUAAGGUGUCUGACAUAUUUCUCCACUGUGAAGUUGCUAUUUACAUCUGUAAUUAAUAAAGAUUUCAAAAAGUAAA